AGAGGAUUUUGGCUAAGAUCGAAGUGUAGUAUCUGUUCUUAUCAGCUUAAUAUGUGAUACGUCCUGCAUUGCAGGACCAGAAUAUUAAACUCAUUUUUGGCUCAUGACGGAGUGCUAGGGGCUUGUUCCACUGAGGGGGCAGUUACGUGUCUCGCUUGAUUGUGUAGAAUUUUCGGCCCAACACCACCAUC